AAAGAAGAUAGUUUUUUUUUGUUUUGUUUUUUUUUUACAGUGAGCUUUUUACAAAGCAGACUUUCAAUUCAAGAAUGAUCGAACAAAGUAUCACCUUGAGGAAAAUAUAAUCAACUUCUUAAAAUAAUGGCCUAAUUCAUAUUUUGACCCUUUUUUUUUGCCUGAAACAUCUCAGGACACUGGCCAGUACUAUAAUCAGCCACAUCCUUAGAGAUCCUUCAAUUGUACCCCAGAAAUAAAA